GGCUCAGAUUGAACGCUGGCAGGAUGCUACACAUGCAAGUCGAACGGCGGCACGGACUUCGGUCUGGUGGCGAGUGGCGAACGGGUGAGUAAUGUCAGGAACGUGCCUAGUAGCGGGGGAUAACUACGCGAAAGCGUAGCCCCCUAAUACCGCAUACGCCCUUCGGGGGAAAGCGGGGGACCUUCGGGCCUCGCACUAUUAGAGCGGCCGAUAUCAGUUAGCUAGUUGGUGGGGUAACGGCUCACCAAGGCGACGAUCCGUAGCUGGUUUGAGAGAGAGGACGACCAGCCACACUGGGACGAGACACGGCCCAGACUCCUACGGGAGGCAGCAGUGGGGGUACGGACAAUGGGGGAAACCCUGAUCCAGCCAUCCCGCGUGUGCGAUGAAGGCCUUCGGGUUGUAAAGCACUUUUGGCAGGAAGAAACGGCACGGGAUAAUACCCCGUGCAACUGAUAAUACCUGCAGAAUAAGCACCGACCCCAACUACGUGCCAGCAGCCGCGGUAAUACGUAGGGUGCAAGCGUUAAUCGGAAUUACUGGGCGUAAAGCGUGCGCAGGCGGUUCGGAAGAAAGAUGUGAAAUCCCAGAGCUUAACUGGAACUGCGUGCAUAACUACCGAGCUAGAAGAGUGUGUCAGAGGGGUGGAAUUCCACGUGUAGCAGUGAAAUGCGUAGAUGCGGAGGAACACCGAUGGCGAAGGCAGCCUCCUGGGAUAACACUGACGCUCAUGCACAGCGUGGGGAGCAAACGGGAUUAGAUACCCUGGUAGUCCACGCCCUAAACGAUGUCAACUAGCUGUUGGGGCCUUCGGGCCUUGGUAGCGCAGCUAACGCGUGAAGUUGACGCCGCCUGGGGGAGUACGGUCGCAAGAUUAAAACUCAAAGGAAUUGACGGGGACCCGCACAAGCGGUGGAUGAUGUGGAUUAAUUCGAUGCAACGCGAAAAACCUUACCUACCCUUGACAUGUCUGGAAUCGAAGAGAUUUGGGAGUGCUCGCAAGAGAACCGGAACACAGGUGCUGCAUGGCUGUCGUCAGCUCGUGUCGUGAGAUGUUGGGUUAAGUCCCGCAGCGAGCGCAACCCUUGUCAUUAGUUGCUACGAAAGGGCACUCUAAUGAGACUGCCGGUGACAAACCAGAGGAAGGUGAGGAUGACGUCAAGUCCUCAUGGCCCUUAUGGGCAGGGCUUCUACGUCAUACAAUGGUCGGGACAGAAGGUCGCCAACCCGCGAGGGGAGCCAAUCCCGAAACCCGAUCGUAGUCCGGAUCGCAGUCUGCGCUCGACUGCGUGAAGUCGAAUCGCUAGUAAUCGCGGAUCAGCAUGUCGCGGUGAAUACGUUCCCGGGUCUUGUACACACCGCCCGUCACACCAUGGGAGUGGGUUUUACCAGAAGUAGUUAGCCUAACCGUAAGGAGGGCGAUUACCACGGUAGGAUUCAUGACUGGGGUAGUCGUAACAGGUAA
rnacentral:rRNA from 1 species